rnacentral:lncRNA from 13 species
AACUGAGACAGCAGGAGGGUGUAGAGAUGAAUGUUCCAAGAGAUAUAAAAUAGAAGCAGAGCAGAGAGAAAGAGGCAAAAAGAUUUCGCUAAGGAUAAAUAACGGUCUCCCAUGAAUGAAGUGAGUUUAGAAAGCUGUUCUUCUGUCUGAAUAACAGAAAAAUAGAUACAAAAAUACAGAAAACUCAACCUGCAGCAGUAUCUCAAAAUCACCUGUCUAUAAAAGUGCUGUGAUGAAAAUAUAAACAAAAUACUCAAAGAACAAAAAUAAUGAGAAGGCAUGGACUCCAGUUAGAAGCCACCAGUGGUGGCUGUGUUUCAGAAGAGGUCUGUGAACUGAGCCCCAUGUCUCUGGCUUCACGGCGGAGGCUGAAGUGCACUCAUCACCGUUGUUGAUAAUAAGAGCCUCCCAAAUGUCAGUAUGUGAGCAGCAAGCAACUGGUAAUGCAAUGUAAAGUUUCCGUUCUACAAAAUCUCAAACAUACACCAAAGCAGACAGAACAGUACUGUGAACUCCCACACACUCCUCGGCCAUCUUCGACAGCGGUCAAUGUUUACGGCCCCUCUUGUUUCAACAUACACCAAAGCAGACAGAACAGUACCGUGAACUCCCACACACUCCUCAGCCAUCUUCGACAGCGGUCAAUGUUUACGGCCCCUCUUGUUUCACAGGGAUGUCAUAAAGAAUGGAAAUGA